UGGAAGAAUACUUUGGAUGUAACAACGCUGCUGUUCUGGCUGCAGCCUUUGCGUGUUUGUAGAGUUUUACCCAACUCUGGGUUUGUCAGCAAUCCAGGCUGCACAACACAUAAAUGUAGCAGUGCUGGGAGCCAACAUGUUUGUGGAUUUAAUGGGAAUUGCAAAACGCUGAAACAUCCUGUUCCAGAAAGGAGACUAAUGCAGGAGCAAGAGGUUAGAAAAAGCCUCUCAGGAGAAAGAAGUGACAAGUUUGAAGACAUAAGUGUGUGGCAGAAAGUGAGAAAGAAUUGCAAUUUCUCAGCUCUUUGGCAGUUACCUACAAGGUGCAGAUGAGACAUGUGAGAGCCACUUUAUCCUACCUGGAACAUUGGAGCUGAUUACCAAAGACUUUUCUAAUGUGUCCCUGGAGAAUCACGGAGCGAUACAGACAAUUCCAGCAUCUCACUUGUACCUCAGGAAGCAAGAAAGAGCUACG